AUACGGAGGGUGCAAGCGUUAUGCGGAAUCAUUGGGUUUAAAGGGUCCGUAGGCGGGCUAUUAAGUCAGAGGUGAAAUCCCACAGCUCAACUGUGGAACUGCCUUUGAUACUGAUAGUCUUGAGUUACAGUGAGGUAGAUAGAAUAUGUAGUGUAGCGGUGAAAUGCAUAGAUAUUACAUAGAAUACCGAUUGCGAAGGCAGUCUACUAACUGUAUACUGACGCUGAUGGACGAAAGCGUGGGGAGCGAACAGGAUUAGAAACCCUAGUAGUCC
rnacentral:rRNA from 1 species